CCUACGGGGGGCUGCAGUGGGGAAUAUUGGACAAUGGGGGCAACCCUGAUCCAGCCAUGCCGCGUGUGUGAAGAAGGCCCUCGGUUUGUAAAGCACUUUCAGUGAGGAAGAACGCCUGGUGGUUAAUACCCAUCAGGAAAGACAUCACUCACAGAAGAAGCACCGGCUAACUCCGUGCCAGCAGCCGCGGUAAUACGGAGGGUGCGAGCGUUAAUCGGAAUUACUGGGCGUAAAGCGCGCGUAGGUGGCUUGAUAAGCCGGUUGUGAAAGCCCCGGGCUCAACCUGGGAACGGCAUCCGGAACUGUCAAGCUAGAGUGCAGGAGAGGAAGGUAGAAUUCCCGGUGUAGCGGUGAAAUGCGUAGAGAUCGGGAGGAAUACCAGUGGCGAAGGCGGCCUUCUGGACUGACACUGACACUGAGGUGCGAAAGCGUGGGUAGCAAACAGGAUUAGAUACCCCAGUAGUC
rnacentral:rRNA from 1 species